UGGCUCAGUUGGUAGAGCAUGGUGUUUGCAACGCAAGGGUCGUGGGUUCGAUUCCCAC
rnacentral:tRNA from 1 species